AUGCCGUACACGCUGGAUCCCCCAACACCGGGCUUUGCAAAGAUCAGAGUGGAUGGAGCAGUUUCAAGAGACCAAGGAGAUGGGACGGUGAGUGCUAUAUGUAGAAACUCAGAAGGCCUUUUUCUUGGAGCAUCGGUAAUAAAGUUCAGCGGAAUUUCGAACCCAGCAUCGCUAGAGGCGCUAGCCUGCCGUGAAGCCCUGGCAAUAUCAUCUGAUCUCCAUCUUACUCAGAUUGUGGUUGCAUCAGAUUGUCAAGGGGUAGUCCGGGUCAUAGCAAACCGUACUGGUGGGGAUUAUGCAAGUAUAGUAAAGGAAAUCACAGAGACAGCAAGAGAUUUCCAACAUUGCUCCUUUAUUUUUGAGGGGCGAGAGACUAAUAUCGAGGCACAUAGCCUCGCUAAGCACGCUUUUGGUCUGGGCUACGGGCGCCAUCUGUGGCUUUUAAACCCGCCAGACCUCGAUUGUAUUCCUAUGAACAUUAUUGAUCAAUAA
rnacentral:rRNA from 1 species